rnacentral:rRNA from 1 species
GAUGAACGCUGGCGGCGUGCCUAAUACAUGCAAGUCGAGCGAACGGACGAGAAGCUUGCUUCUCUGAUGUUAGCGGCGGACGGGUGAGUAACACGUGGAUAACCUACCUAUAAGACUGGGAUAACUUCGGGAAACCGGAGCUAAUACCGGAUAAUAUUUUGAACCGCAUGGUUCAAAAGUGAAAGACGGUCUUGCUGUCACUUAUAGAUGGAUCCGCGCUGCAUUAGCUAGUUGGUAAGGUAACGGCUUACCAAGGCAACGAUGCAUAGCCGACCUGAGAGGGUGAUAGGCCACACUGGAACUGCAACACGGUCCAGACUCCUACGGGAGGCAGCAGUAGGGAAUCUUCCGCAAUGGGCGAAAGCCUGACGGAGCAACGCCGCGUGAGUGAUGAAGGUCUUCGCAUCGUAAAACUCUGUUAUUAUGGAAGACCAUAUGUGUAAGUAACUGUGCACAUCUUGACGGUACCUAAUCAGAAAGCCACGGCUAACUACGUG